rnacentral:tRNA from 1 species
AGGGAUGUGGCUCAGUGGUAAGAGUGCUUGUCUGACAUGCACGAAGUCCUGGGUUCAAUUCCCCAGUGCCCCCU